rnacentral:rRNA from 1 species
UACGUAGGGUGCAAGCGUUGUCCGGAAUUAUUGGGCGUAAAGAGCUUGUAGGCGGUCUGUCGCGUCUGCUGUGAAAAUCCGGGGCUCAACCCCGGACUUGCAGUGGGUACGGGCAGACUAGAGUGUGGUAGGGGAGACUGGAAUUCCUGGUGUAGCGGUGAAAUGCGCAGAUAUCAGGAGGAACACCGAUGGCGAAGGCAGGUCUCUGGGCCGAUACUGACGCUGAGGAGCGAAAGCGUGGGGAGCGAACAGG